rnacentral:misc_RNA from 1 species
AAAUGCGAUAAGUAAUGUGAAUUGCAGAAUUCAGUGAAUCAUCGAAUCUUUGAACGCACCUUGCGCUCCUUGGUAUUCCUUGGAGCAUGCCUGUUUGAGUAUCAUGAAAUCUUCAAAGUAAAUCUUUUGUUAACUCAAUUGGUUUCUACUUUGGUAUUGGAGGUCUUUGCAGCUUCACACCUGCUCCUCUUUGUUCAUUAGCUGGAUCUCAGUGUUAUGCUUGGUUCCACUCGGCGUGAUAAGUUAUCUAUCGCUGAGGACACUGUAAAAGGUGGCCAAGGUAAAUGCAGAUGAACCGCUUCUAAUAGUCCAUUGACUUGGACAAUACUUUUAUGAUCUGAUCUCAAAUCAGGUAGGACUACCCGCUGAACUCAAGC